UAUGGAUAAUCUAUGGAUAAUUUAUGGAUGGUCUAUGGAUAAUCUAGGGAUAAUCUAGGGAUCAUCUAGGGAUAAUCUAGGGAUAAUUUAUGGAUAAUCUAGGGAUAAUCUAGGGAUAAUUUAUGGAUGGUCUAUGGAUAAUUUAUGGAUAAUCUAUGGAUAGAGAGGCGCAGGAAUUUGGGGAACACAAAGGUUUUUUUGGGGGUCCAGGCACAUCCCAAAUACAACAACAGCCCAGGGACUUUUCCUGCCCUCCCAGCUCGGAUUUGGGAUCAGAAAAAAAAUUAUUGAAAAAAAAUCAAAAUCUGUUGGUCCCAGAAGGGAGGAGGAGGGAGAGGAAGGACCAGGCCACCACUGGGUCCCACCCAACACCUGCACACCUUCCAAAUCUCCCCAAAUUUGGGGCUAAAACAUCCGAUUUUAGGCCAAACCCCCCUCAAACCCAGCAUCCCACCAAAUAUCUUCAUUACCCGCUGAAAAUAAUUGGGGAGAGGCCCCAAAAGUGCCCAAAUUCCCAGAGCAGGGGCGGCUCAGGCCAGCCCCGAGUGCAGCUGAGGAUGGUGAAGAUUUUGGAAGUCACACGGAGCAGGGAAAACAGCCCGAGAAAGGAAAAGCGAUUUCCAAAGGGUGGGAAAGACAGGGAAAAAAAGGGAAAAAAAAUAGACGGACAUGUGUCCACCAAAUGUGGUGUGAGGGUAAAAAAAAGGGAGAGAGAAAGGGGGGAAAAAGGGGAAAAAAUAGAAAAGCAGGGGCUGUAAAUUCUAGAAAAUCCCCAAUUCUCUGCCGGUGCUUUGGCUCGGAUGUUCUCGGUUUAAUUUGAGUUUUGGAGGGAGGAGCCGGCUCAGGUGUGAGCCAGGUGUCCCCUCCACGUCCCCUGCAGAGGUGACAACAGAACCUCCCCUAAAAACCGCCCCAAACCCCUCAGAGUCCUCUCCAGACUGGGAAUUUGGGGGUUUUCUCCUCUAUUUUUUUCUCUUUCUGCCCAAUUUUGCAGGAAAAAAACCGCCCCAAACCCCUCAGAUUCCUCUCCAAACUGGGAAUUUGGGGGUUUUCCCUCUCUCUUUUUUUUUUUUUCUUUUUCUGCCCAAUUUUGCAGGCAAAAAACCACACCAAGACCCCUCAGACUCCUCUCCAAACUGGAAUUUGGGGAUUUCUCCUCUCUUUUUUUUUUUUUUUUUUUUUUUUUUUUCCUUUUUUUUUUCUUUUUUUUCUUUUUCUGCCCAAUUUUGCAGGCAAAAAACCACCUCAAACCCCUCAGACUCCUCUCCAAACUGGGAAUUUGGGGAUUUUCCCCUCUCUUUUAUUUUUCCUUCUUUCUGCCCAAUUUUGCAGGCUCCACCCGCCCGGCCCAGCCCAAGCUCCGCUUGUUAAUUUUUGAAUUUUUCCCGAAUUUUGGCUUUUCCCAGGAAAGCUGCCCGCCCUGGGGGCCGGGCAGGUUGGGAGGCUCCAGAUGCAGCAGCAGCAGCUCCCGUGAUUAUUUUUCUGUAGCACUUGAGGAGACACAAGAGCGCUCAUUCAGUGUCUCCAGAUGGCGCGGCCGGAGCGCGGAAAUGCGAGGACACUCGAUCCUGUUAAAUGUCUGCGCUGGGGGAGGAGGGGAGGGGGAGAGGAAACCCGAGAGGGAAAAUUAAAAAAGAAAAAAAAAAAAGAAAAAAAAAAGAGGGAAAAAGAGGAGAAAACAGGGAAAAAUAGAAAGAGAGUGAAAAAAAAAAAAAAAAGAAAAAAUAAGAGAGGAAAAAAAGAGAGAAAAGCCCAGAGGUAAAAGGAAAAUAAAAGAAUAAAGAAAAAAAUAAAAAGAGGAAAAAAGAGGGGGGAAUGAGAGGAAAAAAAGAGAGUGAAAAAAAAGAAAAAAGAAAAAUAAAAGAGGAAAAAAAAGAAAGCCCAAGGAAAAAAAAAAAAAAAAAAAAAAAAAAAAACAACCCAAAACAGCCAAGCAAAGCAGCAAACCUAAAGUGGAAAUAAAGACCAAAAAAACCCCCAAAAUGCGGAUUUCUCUUUGGCGAGCAGGUGAAAAGGGCCGCAAGGCGAAGGUGAGGGCGCAGGCAGAGCAGAGCGCAUUGAAAUGCAAAAAAGCCUCGGGCAAACCCCCCCUCCCCCGGGCCACCUCCCGAGGGGACAGGGACAGCCCCAAACUUGGCCUGGAGUCCCCUGCCAGGGCAGGAGGGGGUUGGAAAAUGAAAUUUUCACCCAUUUCCACCCCAAUUUUUAAUUAUUAUUAUUUUUCCUCCCUUUUCCACACCAAGUUCCCCUGCGGGCCUGGGAUGGGAACAACUCCAGGCCAGCUCCGGGGAGGCUGAAAGCUCCCAAAAACCAGGAAUAAACUGGGAGAGGAACCCAGCCCCUCCUUGCUCUUCGUCAAACUGGAUUUUCUGAUCGGUUGGGAGGAGUUUUUUGUUGGGUUUUGUUUGUUUGUUUGUUUUUUGGGGUGGAUUUUUGUGGUGGUGGUUUGUUUUUUUUGUUUUUUUUUUUUUUUUUUUUUUUUUGUUUUGUUUUUUUUUUUUUGGUUUUUUUUUUUUUUUUUUGUGGGUUUUUUGGUGGAUUUGUUUGGUUGGUUGGUUUUUUGUUUUGUUUUUUGUGGUUUUUGGGUUUGGGGUUUUUUGGGGUGGUUUUUUGGGGUGUUUUUUUUUUUUUUUCUUUGGGGUCCUUUUGGGGUUUUUUCCUGGUUUUGGGGGGGUUAUUUUUGUUUUUGUUUUUUUGUUUUUUUGAGCAGAGAAUAUUUCAGGGCGCUCUCUGAGCUCGGGACCCCCCAAACGCUGUCCCCCCCCCUCGAUCUCAGCGUUUCUCCCUCAUCUGGAAAAGCGCUCACCCUCCGCCGCCCCUGACGAGGCAAAGCGAGCAGUUAAAGUGUCACUUAACAUUCUCGAGAAUGUGAAAUAUAUUGUACAUUGUCAACUCCCCAAAACCAUAAAACUAACUUUAUGGACCUCACGUGACUUUUGAGAGCCAGUGAGGGGUAUCUGGCUGAGGUCUGGGCGAUUUUUACGAUCUAACUUCGAGAUAAAACCCCCUAUCCAUUUGACAUCUAAAUGUCAUACCCACUUUUGGUAGAGUUUGCUAUCGGUAAAAAAAAAAAAAUAAUAGGAAAAAAAAAAAAAAAACCAAAGCGAGAAAAGGAUUUUUAAAAAAAAAAUGACCAAGGGGAAGGCGAGCAAAUGGUUUGGGAUCUGAGAGUCCACUUCACAUCCCUCUCAAAAUCACUUAAGAAGUCCCCAAACAGUGGCAGAGAUUAAGUUUGAUUUUCCUCGAGAAACCGCCCCCACAUCCCAGCGCCCCCGGAGAGCAGCGCAAACCCCGAGCGGAUUUACAAAAACUCGGCUGAGGAGGAGGAAAUCGGCACGAGAUUCUGCCAGGGGGAGGGAAAAAAAGGGAAAAAAAAUAGAAUAAAAGGACCAACAAAACCGAACGCGACAACUGCCCGCAAAGGGCUUUUUUAAAGGCAGAGCCCAAAUUCCUCCGCCCGGAGCCGCUGCCAAACCAGCCUCGAUCUCCAGGUGACCUCACACGGCUCCCUCUGACUCCGAUAUUUCGUUUUUUCUUCCUAUUUCCCAUUCAUUUUCUUCAUUUGCCCUCCUUUUCUGCCUCCCCCUUUUCCUUUCCUCCUUCCCUUUUUCCUUUUUCCUUUCAUUAUUUCUUCCUUUCCUCCUCUCCAUUUCUUUCUUUUCCUUUUCUUUCCACCUCCAUUUCUCUCGUCCUCCUCUCUUUUCCUCACCUCUAAGCUCCGCUUUAUUUUUAUUUUUAUUUUUAUUUUUUUCCGGGUGAAAUUGUCGCUCCAACAGAUUUCCAAACCCUCCAAUUCCUCCCUUCCUCAUCACCC